rnacentral:rRNA from 2 species
UACGUAGGGAGCAAGCGUUGUCCGGAUUUACUGGGUGUAAAGGGUGCGUAGGCGGAUUGGCAAGUCAGAAGUGAAAUCCAUGGGCUUAACCCAUGAACUGCUUUUGAAACUGUUAGUCUUGAGUGAAGUAGAGGUAGGCGGAAUUCCCGGUGUAGCGGUGAAAUGCGUAGAGAUCGGGAGGAACACCAGUGGCGAAGGCGGCCUACUGGGCUUUAACUGACGCUGAGGCACGAAAGUGUGGGUAGCAAACAGG